rnacentral:rRNA from 1 species
CCUACGGGAGGCAGCAGUGGGGAAUAUUGGGCAAUGGGCGCAAGCCUGACCCAGUAACGCCGCGUGAAGGAAGAAGGCUUUCGGGUUGUAAACUUCUUUUCUGGGGGACGAACAAAUGACGGUACCCCAGGAAUAAGCUACGGCUAACUACGUGCCAGCAGCCGCGGUAAUACGGAGGGGGCAAGCGUUAUCCGGAUUUAUGGGGUGUAAAGGGCGUGUAGGCGGGAAUGCAAGUCAGGUGUGAAAACUCAGGGCUCAACCCUGAGCCUGCCUUUGAAAAUGUGUUUCUUGAGUGCUGGAGAGGCAAUCGGAAUUCCGUGUGUAGCGGUGAAAUGCGUAGAUAUACGGAGGAACACCAGUGGCGAAGGCGGAUUGCUGGACAGUAACUGACGCUGAGGCGCGAAAGCGUGGGGAGCAAACAGGAUUAGAUACCCCGGUAGUC